ensembl:lncRNA
GAGAGAGAGAGAGAGAGAGAGAGAGAGAGAGAGAGAGAGAGAGAGAGAGAGAGAGAGAGACAGAGACAGAGAGAGAGAGAGAGAGAGAGAGAGAGAGAGAGAGACAGAGACAGAGACAGAGAGAGAGAGAGAGAGAGAGAGAGAGAGACAGAGACAGAGACAGAGACAGAGACAGAGACAGAGACAGAGACAGAGACAGAGAGACAGAGACAGAGACAGAGACAGAGACAGAGAGAGAGAGACAGAGACAGAGACAGAGACAGACAGAGAGAGAGAGACAGAGACAGAGACAGAGACAGAGACAGAGAGAGAGAGAGAGAGAGAGAGAGAGAGAGAGA